rnacentral:rRNA from 1 species
GGUUAAGCGACUAAGCGUACACGGUGGAUGCCCUGGCAGUCAGAGGCGAUGAAGGACGUGCUAAUCUGCGAUAAGCGUCGGUAAGGUGAUAUGAACCGUUAUAACCGGCGAUUUCCGAAUGGGGAAACCCAGUGUGAUUCGUCACACUAUCGUUAACUGAAUACAUAGGUUAACGAAGCGAACCGGGGGAACUGAAACAUCUAAGUACCCCGAGGAAAAGAAAUCAACCGAGAUUCCCCCAGUAGCGGCGAGCGAACGGGGAGCAGCCCAGAGUCUGAAUC